rnacentral:lncRNA from 1 species
AAUUUAAAAAAAAAAUAAAAAUCAAGUAGAAUUGACCACUUGCAAUAAAUUGGCUGACAUGCAAUGCUAUAUUGCUUGUUGAAUAAUCAUGAAAUAUAAUCAAUACUUAUAUGUAACAUAACUUACAUUCACAUUUUGGAUUUUUUAUUUAGCUUAUUAGAUUUUGUGUUAGUGUCUUAAUUUUGAUCUCCAAACAUUUUUUCAUCUAUAUUUCAAAUUGUCCUUAAUUCUUAAGCACGAUUAAUAUGUAUUUGAAUUGCAUAUUUCAUCUACAUGUAGUGUUAAAACUUAAAAGUUUAUAAAUGUUCAUGUUUGAUAUCUAGCACAUGUUGGUUAUCAUGGUUAUUGGAGGUGAUUAACAGACCCUGACCCCUGUUUUCCCCUUAGAAACUUUGUCUCAACAAUAUAUAUAUAUGUGCAAUUUAUUUAUAUUAGUAUCGUAAAAAUAAGGAGAUAUGUAUGAUCAUGAUGAUUGUAAAUGAGACAACUACCCACUAAUGACCAAAAGAAUAAGGACGUGAACAACUAUAGGUCACUGUACAGACUUUAAUUAUAGGUAAGACCUGUACCAUGAAGUAAGCUAUAAAACACCUGGUAUGACAAAAUGAGAUUUACUGUACUACAAAACUAAUUAAUGUAAGACUUUAUAAACAAUUUCCAAUGUAAGUAAAAGUAGAUGGAGUAUCGGUAUACAGUAUCUCAUGCUUUAAACCUGUUAAUGGCACAGAUUCUAUAAAUGUUGUAAAAUAACUAAAUUUAGAGAAUCUUUCAAAGACUGUUGACAAGGAUAUAUUGUGUGGCUGGGUUUGAAAACCCAAAAUUUGUUUAACUUUAAGGAUUUUUGCACAUUGUUGAAUGCUGUACGGUGACCUGUAGAUAUCUUAGAUUUUUUAUCAAAAGUAAGAUUAUCUUUCCACGUUUCCUUUCUUUUACAUGUAUGAAUUUGGUUGUGAAUAAUGAUGUGAACCAAGUAACAUAUGUUAUGUGUUAAUUCUUGAUGAAUGAGUCUUGUUUAAUUAUUAUGUAUAUUUAUGUUAAAUUUGUUAGAAUAUGGUUAUCUAGAACAAGCUUUGUGAUAUUUUCUUGUAAAAUGGA